AUACGUAGGGGGCGAGCGUUAUCCGGAAUUACUGGGCGUAAAGGGUGCGUAGGCGGCCUUUUAAGUCAGAUGUGAAAGGCUACGGCUUAACCGUAGUUAGCAUUUGAAACUAAAAGGCUUGAGUGCAGGAGAGGAGAGUGGAAUUCCUAGUGUAGCGGUGAAAUGCGUAGAUAUUAGGAGGAACACCAGUGGCGAAGGCGACUCUCUGGACUGCAACUGAUGCUGAGGCACGAAAGCGUGGGGAGCGAACAGGAUUAGAUACCCUGGUAGUCCACGCCGUAAACGAUGAGUGCUAGGUGUUGGUGGGGACACCCAUCAGUGCCGCAGCUAACGCAUUAAGCACUCCGCCUGGGGAGUACGGUCGCAAGACUGAA
rnacentral:rRNA from 1 species